rnacentral:lncRNA from 1 species
CGCACCCACUGCACCUUGGCGGGGACCUUGGGAAGCCCCCUUUCCGUAUUUACCGCUCCGACUUGGCAGCCAAUGCUGUCUGGUCAGCUGUCUGGUCUGCACAACCUUGGUUCAGAAGUCCAGAGACCUGGGUUUAUUUUUGGGGAAGUCCUUGCUCUGUUUUCUGCCAGGACCUCCCUCAGCCUUGGUUGCCCCGAAAACGACCCAUUCACAUUUUCCUUUCUCAUUUUCAGAGCAGUACAAGUGCUUUGAACGUUUGGGGAGAGUGAUAUGAAGGAAGGCCGGAGCCAUCGCUACGUGGGAUACGUGACAGAGUCAGGACCUGUCUCCUGAUGCCCAGACGCCCAGGGCGGCCAGAGUCUGGAGCUUUGCUUUUGUAGAUCUGGGCUCCCUGCAGGAAGUGGCACUGGCCGGCCUGGGAAGCCCUUCCACGGACGGAAGCUGAUGUGAAUUUGAACGCAGGUUCUCCCAAGAGGACUGCUGACGAGAGGCCCCGGGAGCUGCCGACUCCGGCGCUUUGGGGCGGUGGCCGUCAGGUUGUCCUCAGUGGCCUGCCUGAUCGAAGCAUCUGCGNNNNNNNNNNNNNNNNNNNNNGACCUCCGCUCCGGGCUCACUGUCGCUGUCCCGUGGCCGCUCACAUUCAGUGUCCGUGUGGAUGAACUGCCCUUAUUUUGUAGCCCACUGUCCCUCUCGCCAUCCUGCCUUCCCCUGGGCCAGCUUCCCGUCCCCCUUGCUGUGUCCCAGCCCCCGUCGCUGGCACCGUGGACUGUCUGCAUCUCGAGGUGCCCCCCGCGCCCGCGCCUCUCUCCCUCCUCAGACCCGAGCAGCAGCAGAAGAGCUCGUGGGCAGCUUCUGAGCGCCGUCUGGAGAGACGUGGUCGAGCGGGUCCAGGGCACGGACUGA